UACGUAGGGGGCUAGCGUUGUCCGGAAUCAUUGGGCGUAAAGCGCGCGUAGGCGGCCAGAUAAGUCCGGUGUGAAAGUCACAGGCUCAACCUGUGAAUGCCGCUGGAAACUGUCUGGCUAGAGUCCGGAAGGGGCGAGUGGAAUUCCUGGUGUAGCGGUGAAAUGCGUAGAUAUCUGGAGGAACACCGGUGGCGAAGGCGGCAUCCUGGACCAACACUGACACUGAGGAGCGAAAGCCAGGGGAGCAAACGGG
rnacentral:rRNA from 1 species